rnacentral:sRNA from 1 species
GUCGCUGCAAAUUCAGCGACCGGGUUUGGCGACCCGAGCAACUUGGCGCAUAGGCGCCCCAUACGACAGCAGGCGCUUUUUUU